rnacentral:rRNA from 1 species
AGACUGGGAUAACUUCNGGAAACCGGAGCUAAUANCGGAUAAUAUAAGGAACCUCCUGGUUCUUUAUUGAAAGAUGGUUUCGGCUAUCACUUACAGAUGGGCCCGCGGCGCAUUAGCUAGUUGGUGAGGUAACGGCUCACCAAGGCGACGAUGCGUAGCCCACCUGAGAGGGUGAUCGGCCACACUGGGACUGAGACACGGCCCAGACUCCUACGGGAGGCAGCAGUAGGGAAUCUUCCACAAUGGACGAAAGUCUGAUGGAGCAACGCCNCGUGAGCGAUNAAGGCCUUCGGGUCGUAAAGCUCUUUUGUUAGGGAAGAACAAGUGCGAGAGUAACUGCUCGCACCUUGACGGUACCUAACCAGAAAGCCACGGCUAACUACNUGCCAGCAGCCGCGGUAAUACCUAAGUUGGCAAGCGUUGUCCGGAAUUAUUUGGGGCGUAAAAGCGCGCGCCAGGUGGUCCUUUUAAUCUGAUUGUGGAAAGCCCCACGGCUCAACCGUGGGAGGGUCCUUUGGAAAACUUGGGGGGGACUUUGAGUGCCAAAA